GAUGAAGAACGUAGCGAAAUGCGAUAAGUAGUGUGAAUUGCGGAAUUCAGUGAAUCAUCGAGUCUUUGAACGCACAUUGCGCCCCCUGGUAUUCCGGGGGGCAUGCCUGUCCGAGCGUCAUUGCUGCCCUCAAGCACGGCUUGUGUGUUGGGCCCCCGUCCCCGGUUUCCCCCGGGGACGGGCCCGAAAGGCAGCGGCGGCACCGCGUCCGGUCCUCGAGCGUAUGGGGCUUUGUCACCCGCUCUGUAGGCCCGGCCGGCGCCAGCCGACACCCAACUUUAUUUCUAAGGUUGACCUCGGAUCAGGUAGGGAUACCCGCUGAACUUAAGCAUAUCAAUAAGCGGAGGA
rnacentral:misc_RNA from 1 species